rnacentral:snRNA from 1 species
GGAUGUGAGAGUGAUCUGGCUGUGACACCUAUCACCCCAUUGAUCACCAGGGUUGAUUCAGCUGAUCUGGCUGGAUAGGUGGGUAUUCUCUUCCUCCCUCACUGCUCCGUGUGUGUCCCUCCCAAAGCUGGGAGCUCAGCCAGAGGGGACGACCACCAGGAUAGAGUAAAACCAUUUUCCAGGUCAAGAGAAUAUGAGUAGCUGCACUCCCCUGCUAGAACCUCGAAACAAGCUCUCAAAAAUACAUUCAGCAUCAAAAUCAAAGGAUGGAAAAUAAUACUUCAGUUAAAACGAACCCAGAAAAAAAUGAACAAUUUCUAAUAU